AAAACCUCUGGCAUGCAGGGGAGUGGAGUGGAUCUUUGUUUCGCUUCCUUCGAAUAGAAACGCGGAGCGAUGUUCACAUGGACGCGGGUUGUGGCCCUUAAUGGUUACAAAACUAGUUCUUAAAAAGCAUAUGCCCCCCCCCCCCCCCGGAAUGUGCUUCUAUAGGACCUGAAUCAAAGCUACUGCCCCGAAAGGGUGAAUAGGAUCGAAAAAAGAUUUCUAUAGAACCUAAAGUUCACAGCCAUUAUAUGGAGACAGCGCUAAGAAAAAUGUGAGAAUUAUACAGAAAAUCAUUAAUCACUUCUUUUCUUUAAAUACGUAUCCUCUCUCCUUUGUUAUUCAACAGCAAAUCUCCGCAGACCGUCUGUUGGGGGGAAAAAAGUGUUAGCUGCUCUCCCAGACCUACGAGGGGGGAAUAUCUGGAUCAUAAAGUUGAAAAGUUUUUUUUUUCCUCUGGGUUUGGACGAAGUCUCUCCCCAUGAACGGAAUCAGCCGAGCUGCGGCCAGAGAAGGAGCGAUGCGGAAAGGAGGGGAGCCUUCUCGCCUACCGCUCGCGCUGGGGCUCGAUGUGAACAUAUAUUAUGUCUGCCUGUGCUCCCCUCGUCCGUGGCUAAGGUCAGCCGUUGCCAAUAGUCCACGGGAGGAGGAGGAGGAGGAGGAGGAAGAGGAGGAG